rnacentral:rRNA from 1 species
AUUGAACGCUGGCGGCAGGCUUAACACAUGCAAGUCGAGCGAGCGGCGGACGGGUGAGUAAUGUCUGGGAAACUGCCUGAUGGAGGGGGAUAACUAAUGGAAACGGUAGCUAAUACCGCAUACUAUAGGAUGAACCCAUAUGGGAUUAGCUAGUAGGUGGGGUAAAGGCUCACCUAGGCCACGAUCUCUAGCUGGUCUGAGAGGAUGAGCAGCCACACUGGGACGUAGACACGUCCCAGACUCCGACGGGAGGCAGCAGUGGUGAAUAUUGCACAAUGGGCGCAAGCCUGAUGCAGCCAUGCCGCGUGUAUGAAGAAGGCCUUCGGGUUGUAAAGUACUUUCAGCGGGGAGGCGUUACCCGCAGAAGAAGCACCGGCUAACUCCGUGCCAGCAGCCGCGGUAAUAC